rnacentral:rRNA from 1 species
AUUGAACGCUGGCGGCAUGCCUUACACAUGCAAGUCGAACGGUAACAGGUUAAGCUGACGAGUGGCGAACGGGUGAGUCAUGUAUCGGAACGUGCCCAGUCGUGGGGGAUAACUGCUCGACAGAGCAGCUAAUACCGCAUACGACCUGAGGGUGUAAGCGGGGGAUCGCAAGACCUCGCGCGAUUUGAGCGGAAGAUAGCAGAUUAGGUAGUUGGUGAGGUAAAGGCUCACAAAGCCGACGAUCUGUAGCUGGUAUGAGAGGAAGACCAGCCACACUGGGACAGAGACACGGCCCAGACUCCUACGGGAGGCAGCAGUGGGGAAUUUUGGACAAUGGGCGCAAGCCUGAUCCAGCCAUGCCGCGUGCGGGAAGAAGGCCUUCGGGUUGUAAACCGCUUUUGUCAGGGAAGAAAAGGUUCUGGCUAAUACCUGGGACUCAUGACGGUACCUGAAGAAUAAGCACCGGCUAACUACGUG